rnacentral:rRNA from 1 species
UACGAAGGGUGCAAGCGUUACUCGGAAUUACUGGGCGUAAAGCGUGCGUAGGUGGUGAGUUAAGUCUGUCGUGAAAGCCCCGGGCUUAACCUGGGAAUGGCAUUUGGGACUGCAAGGCUAGAGUGCGGCAGAGGAGACUGGAAUUCCUGGUGUAGCAGUGAAAUGCGUAGAUAUCAGGAGGAAUACCGAUGGCGAAGGCAGGUCUCUGGGCUGACACUGACGCUCAUGCACGAAAGCGUGGGGAGCAAACAGG